CAACCAAGAGACACAGCCAACUCUAUAAUGGCCUUGAAGCGCAAAAGUCACGUGAUCGAGAUGGUCGAUGUGUUGUUGUGGUAGUGUAUGGUUGUGAAUCCGUGGUUGGCGGAUUUUUAGAUUGUAUAUUUUGCUAUUAAGUGAUUUUAAAUCACUUACGCUAAGGGUUUGUAGCGAUCUCACAGGACUAUAUUUCUUGAAAGGUGCGCUUCGGAUGAAGGCAUAGGAGAACAAGUGGUGAUGCAUCUUGAGGAGAGGAGAAAGCAGACAGGCGUCGCCAGAUUACACUUAGUCUGGACUUGAUGUUGUGAGGAACGAGGUAAAACGCUCCUGGGAUGGAAUAUCGUCUAGCAAUUGUGAAAAGGGUGCAUCAAGCAAAAAUGUUUGAGAAUCAUUGACCUGGAUGGACAGAAGUACUUCACCUUCUUUUAGCAAGUGCUGUCUGUUGUAUUACGUAUUGGGCCGGCAUUAUGUUCCAACAGUCACCUGGUUUCAGUACGAAAGAGCCUCAACACAUUUCUUCAGGAUCGUGCGAAACUUCCUAGACACUGCCUUCCGAAACUAUGGAUUGGUCACGGCAACACCGUCUUUUGGCUUCCCAGAUCUCCCAAUCCGUUCCGCUUCGAUUUUUUUCUUCGGAGACAGUUAUAAAGCGUCGUUUAUGAGACGCUCAUCGAGUCACUUUAUCGUCCGAUUUCGCGUCGCAGUUGGAAGCGCUCGUGAAUUACCA